rnacentral:rRNA from 1 species
UACGUAGGGGCAAGCGUUGUCCGGAAUGACUGGGCGUAAAGGGCGUGUAGGCGGCUGCUUAAGUCUGAUGUGAAAUACCCAUUUUUAAGGUGGGUCGUGCAUUGGAAACUGAGUAGCUUGAGUGCGGAAGAGGUAAGUGGAAUUCCCGGUGUAGCGGUGAAAUGCGUAGAGAUCGGGAGGAACACCAGUGGCGAAGGCGACUUACUGGGCCGCAACUGACGCUGAGGCGCGAAAGCGUGGGGAGCAAACAGGAUUAGAUACCCUGGUAGUCCCU